GAAGCGUGGACGCCAGUCUGCGUGGAGCCAACCUUGAAAUACCACCCUUUAAUGUUUGAUGUUCUAACGUUGCCCCAUUAUCUGGGGUGCGGACAGUGUCUGGUGGGUAGUUUGACUGGGGCGGUCUCCUCCCAAAGAGUAACGGAGGAGCACGAAGGUUGGCUAAGCAUGGUCGGACAUCAUGCGGUUAGUGCAAAGGCAUAAGCCAGCUUGACUGCGAGAGUGACGGCUCGAGCAGGUACGAAAGUAGGUCUUAGUGAUCCGGUGGUUCUGAAUGGAAGGGCCAUCGCUCAACGGAUAAAAGGUACUCCGGGGAUAACAGGCUGAUACCGCCCAAGAGUUCAUAUCGACGGCGGUGUUUGGCACCUCGAUGUCGGCUCAUCACAUCCUGGGGCUGAAGUAGGUCCCAAGGGUACGGCUGUUCGCCGUUUAAAGUGGUACGCGAGCUGGGUUUAGAACGUCGUGAGACAGUUCGGUCCCUAUCUGCCGUGGGCGUUGGAAGAUUGAAAGGGGCUGCUCCUAGUACGAGAGGACCGGAGUGGACGCACCACUGGUGUUCGGGUUGUCAUGCCAAUGGCAUUGCCCGGUAGCUAAGUGCGGAAGAGAUAACCGCUGAAAGCAUCUAAGCGGGAAACUUGCCUUGAGAUGAGUCUUCCCUG
rnacentral:rRNA from 1 species